rnacentral:rRNA from 1 species
GAUGAACGCUGGCGGCGUGCCUAAUACAUGCAAGUCGAGCGAACGGACGAGAAGCUUGCUUCUCUGAUGUUAGCGGCGGACGGGUGAGUAACACGUGGAUAACCUACCUAUAAGACUGGGAUAACUUCGGGAAACCGGAGCUAAUACCGGAUGAUAUUUUGAACCGCAUGGUUCAAAAGUGAAAGACGGUCUUGCUGUCACUUAUAGAUGGAUCCGCGCUGCAUUAGCUAGUUGGUAAGGUAACGGCUUACCAAGGCAACGAUGCAUAGCCGACCUGAGAGGGUGAUCGGCCACACUGGAACUGAGACACGGUCCAGACUCCUACGGGAGGCAGCAGUAGGGAAUCUUCCGCAAUGGGCGAAAGCCUGACGGAGCAACGCCGCGUGAGUGAUGAAGUUCUUCGGAUCGUAAAACUCUGUUAUUAGGGAAGAACAUAUGUGUAAGUAACUGUGCACAUCUUGACGGUACCUAAUCAGAAAGCCACGGCUAACUACGUG